AGAGAUCAGAGCAAAGACGCAGCGGUGCGCUACGAGAGAGAGAGAGAGAGAGAGAGAGAGAGAGAGAGAGAGAGAGAGAGAGAGAGAGAGAGAGACUUGGCGCAGGAGGGAGAGAGACAGAUCGAGAGGGUGAGAGAGCGAGAGAGAGAGAGCGAGAGGGGUGAGACUAGGGGAGAGGAGAUAGGAAGAGGGCACCAGAUGGAGGAGACCAACAGGUAGCCAAUCAGCUGCCAGCGCGCUACAGACACAACUUCUCACUUCAGGUCGGAGCUGCAGCCGCUGCGUCGCUCUGCCGAUCAGAGGGUUCGAGCUCUGAAAAUAAUCUAGAUUUCAACUGGAUUGAUUUUUUAUUUCUGUGGAUGAAAUUUGACGGUGCGUCUAUGGAGAAAAAUUUCCAGCUCAGACUAUUUAAAUCUGAUUUAAUCAUUAAAAUUUAGGCUGUUAGUUUGAGUAGUUUUACCUGUGGAUAAAUUGUUGGAAAAAAAAGUAAAAUACAAAAAUUGCAGGACAAGGUAGUUGGGAAUGCAUGAGGCCGACUGAACGACUAAUUGUGGUAAUAAAAAAUAAUUAUUACGAUAAUAAUUCGUUUUUGAAAAGUGUCCAAAAUGUCCCAAUCUGAAGCUCACAUUCAUUAAAAUAAUCAAUAUACAGCAGCCUGAAACAGCUCGCUUAUUGACACAUGUGGCCAGAUGUAAUAGUGGGUUUUGGUGACGCGGUGUCCGAUGAGAGUUCCGCUAUGAGACGGACAACAUGACUCUCUUUUGUCCACCCUGGAAUUAUAUUUGAACCCAACAAAGGCCCCGCGAUGAGAAGGAUAUUAAACACAUGUACAACACAACAUAUCAUUCAUCAUCAUCGUAUAAUUCCAUUCAUUAACGUGACGUGGAUUUUUAUUAUUUUGGUGUUUCCUCGUUUUAGCUGCUGCGACGCCGAGUUUAAUUCUCCAAAUAUUGGAGAAUAAUUAUUUUCACCCUCAAGUCUCCAAUGCAGUUUAUUUGAUGAAUACGACGACGAAGAUACAAGAGAUUAAAUGCGUAAUUCCCUGUAGAUCUGAGUGGCGCUUCAGUCACUUCGGUUCCUGCAUUAAUGGUUCAUGUGUGAUUAAACCGAGACGUGAUCGUUUGUAGAAGCGCACCAAUCAGCGCAACGUGCGCACACGUCCAGCGGCCCGGCGCGUUUUCUCAGGGAGGAAAAGUCUAUACGUUUAGUUUGGCGCGGUGACCGUGGGCGGCGAAGGAGCUGCGACCCCGAAGGAAACUGUUCAGAAUGAGGGUUUCUGCGUGGAUUUAACGUGCAUGUCCGCAGAAUAAUUAAAAACCGCUCCAUCUCCGGCUUCACAGAUGUGUUAAAUUCCGCUUAGACGCAUUUUCACUUGUCCACGCAACCCUUGUUGGUUUUUAAAAUACACAUUUUAAUUAUUUUUAACAAAUUUCGGGUUGUAAUAAUUGCCCAAACAUAAGAUGCGACCCGAGGUGUUUUUAUUUCAAAUUCAGUUAUUUUGGUGCUUUUGUCAAAAACGAAGAAAAGCCGUUUUUUUUUUGGUUUCUUCAUGUUUGAACUUGAUCAUUAAAACGUCGGCAGAGCAGUAAAUCUCCAGAUGACAUUCAAUAGGUAUUAGAACGAUGGGGAAUUCCCCCAAAAUGCACAAAUCACACAUCAAAAUGAAAAAUGAUAUUUCAUAUCAGCCGUUUGAAGAUAAUUAAUGCAAAUGACACUCAGGUUAUAUCAACCUAUUAUUAUUAUUUUUAUCAAGGUUAUAUGAUGGUUAUUGUUUGUAUUAUUAGGAUUAUUAUGAUCAUCAUUAAUAUUAUUAUAGGCUGAAAAGUGUUCUUUCUGGUUCUUCUUGUUAAAGACAAUAUAUCAGAAAUGUAUUGAGAUCACUGUAUAGUCCAGGAUGUGGAUGAUAAUCCACUAAUCUUGACUGAAAUGAUUCCUGAUUGAUGAAGAUACACUUUGGAAUUUUAGAUUUAAUAUGGACUGGAGUGCUGCUCAUAUUCAACUUUGCAUUAAAUCUGACCCUUUCUGUCUCACAGUAAUGAUGUAAAAUGUUUGUGUUCGCGUCUGUGUGAAAUCCUAAGUAGGCGAAACCUUAAAUAAAAGUGGGUUUAAUUCAGUUGCUUAGAGAGAGAGAGAGAGAGAGAGAGAGAGAGAGAGAGAGAGAGAGAGAUAAAAUGAUUGGAACGAAUUUUACAAAAAAAUCCUCACUCAAACCUUAACAUUAAGAAAAAACUUGUAUCUACUUUCACGGUUGUGCUUGAAGAUCAUUAAGGGACACCAUCAUCCUGGAAAUCGAUCAGUUUCAUUCAGAUCAAGUGUUUU
ensembl:lncRNA